UACAGAGGGUGCAAGCGUUAAUCGGAAUUACUGGGCGUAAAGCGUGCGUAGUCGGUUAUCUAAGUCGGGUGUGAAAUCCCCGGGCUCAACCUGGGAAUUGCAUUCGAUACUGGAUAGCUAGAGUUCGGCAGAGGGAAGCGGAAUUUCGGGUGUAGCGGUGAAAUGCGUAGAUAUCCGAAGGAACAUCAGUGGCGAAAGCGGCUUCCUGGACCAGAACUGACGUUCAGGCACGAAAGCGUGGGGAGCAAACAGG
rnacentral:rRNA from 1 species